UGCGUAGGUGGUGAGGUAAGUCGGAUGUGAAAUCUCCGGGCUCAACCCGGAAAUGGCAUUGGAAACUACCUUGCUGGAGGAUUUGAGGGGGGAUUGGAAUACUUGGUGUAGCAGUGAAAUGCGUAGAUAUCAAGUGGAACACCAGUGGCGAAGGCGAAUCCCUGGAAAAUACCUGACACUGAGGCACGAAAGCUAGGGGAGCAAACAG
rnacentral:rRNA from 1 species